UUCUUUGCAGCAUCAAGAGCAAGAGCUCGGUCACACGCAUCAAUUGUCUUUUGAAGGACUUCCUCUGGAAGUGGCUUGCCACUCGUUGUUGAUGCUGUUACUGAUACCACCAUAAUAAUAGCUGAGGGUAAAAGUCCUUCCAGGUCUACAAGGGUUAAAUCCAUCUCAUUGCCGAUCUUCUUCACCACACGUGCAUAAUCAAUAGGAUGGUGGACGAGUGAUUCAAGCUCGGGAAAUUUCAAACGGUACUUGUCACGGAUAAAAUUGUGGAUUAUAAUUAUUUCAUUCUCAAUGUCAACUGAUAAGGCAUUGCAAUCCACAAUAAGCUGAUAUUCAGGGUCAUCUUCUAGUACCAAACCCUGAUUGGAGAUAUCAGAACCCUUCUCAAGAGCAUCUUCUACUUUCUGCAUUAUGUCAUUGUAUCUCUGUGUUUUCUGCAAUUUAGAGACACUAUCCAAAUCAUCAUAAUUAAGACUUUCAAUGUCUGCCAUGUCCCCAUCAACGUCUUCCUCCAUGUUUCCAGCAUCAACGUCAUCUUCCUCUAUAAGAUCAGCAUCAUUGUCAGAUAACUCAUCGAGGUCCGCCAGGAAAGAAUCAGCAAGAGUUGCCAUUUUUUUUUUUUUGGCUUGAGAUUCAGGAGACGGGAACUCGGGUGCUUUGCCUUCUAGGGUUUAGCCCUCGCCGCAAGCAGAGAACAAGCAAUUAGAGAAAUUUUUUUUUUUCCC
rnacentral:misc_RNA from 1 species